UGAGCUCGUUAAAAGAGAGCUCUAGCCUUAGACUCAUUGGAGAAAAAAGAGUCUAAAUCUCAAAUUUAGUUGAAAAAUAAUUCUGCUUAAUUUUACUAAUUCAGGUGAACCCUUUUAUAUUACAAGUUUACAUAAGAUUUAUUGGAAUUUUACUAGAAUUAGAAGUCUUAAUAAUAAUAGUGAUCCCUGUAUAAGAGGUAUUACAAUUC
rnacentral:misc_RNA from 1 species